rnacentral:rRNA from 1 species
AGCGAACGCUGGCGGCGUGCCUAACACAUGCAAGUCGAACGUGAACGGGGGCAACCCUUAGUAAAGUGGCGUACGGGUGAGUAACACGUAGGUAAUCUACCCCAGAGUCCGGAAUAACCUGCCGAAAGGCGGGCUAAUACGGGAUAGAGCGACGGAAUCCGUAAUUGGGUUUUUCGGGAAAGGGAGCCUGCAAGGGCCCUCGCUCUGGGAUGAGCCUGCGUCUCAUUAGCUAGUUGGUGGGGUAAUGGCUCACCAAGGCUUUGAUGGGUAGCUGGUCUGAGAGGAUGAUCAGCCACACUGGAACUGAAACACGGUCCAGACUCCUACGGGAGGCUG